GGGGAUAUAGUUCAAAGGUUAGUAACAUCCGCCUUUUAAGCGGUCGAUAAGGGUUCAAGUCCCUUUGUCCCUA
rfam:Babjeviella inositovora NRRL Y-12698 unplaced genomic scaffold BABINscaffold_21, whole genome shotgun sequence.